UCCAGCCCACGGCCCCUCUCCUUAAAAAAUCUGCCCACGGCCACGGUCCCUUCCCUGAGAAACGGUCCAUCCCUCCCGGGCGACUCUUCCUCUGCCCUCCCAUCUAUCCCCCAAAUCACUUUGGUGGCGGCUCUCCCAUCCCUGAUCUGCUUCCCUCUCCAAUCUCUAUCAUCCCUAAUCCCUAUCCUGGAGCCGCGGCUCGUCGUAGGGGUGGCGAUGGCAGCACACAACAGUGCAGUAGUGGUGGUGGGAUGUUGUCGGUCGUGGUAGGUUCUGGCUGCCGCGACGGCCCAUCGUGAUUCAGAGACGGUGGCUGGGUUUGCAGGAUGGGUGGUAUUCAGAUGACAUGCCAACAAGAAGGAAGUGGUGUACACCGAAAAAGGGUGAACUGGGUUCAAAACGAGAAUAUAUGGCAGGAAUGAUUGUCCUCUACAUGAAAAUUGUUCAAGGUUGAAAGAUUUAACAGUGAUGGAUUAAAUUUGGAUAUCACACGAUAGGUGUGGAGGGGAAAUUGUGGAUUUCAUGUUAGACAUUCAGAGAUGUGGCUCUAAAUAUCAGAAGGAAAAUUCACUGGUAGUUAGUGUAUAAUAUUCUAGACUUAGACCAUGAUUUGUAUCUUUCUCAUGAUCCGUGGUGUACGAAUUAUACAUGUAACUAUGAAUGAUUCUAAUAAUACUCUUUCUCUGGUGAUUUGAUCUGCCGCACAUA